rnacentral:rRNA from 1 species
GACGAACGCUGGCGGCGUGCCUAAUACAUGCAAGUCGAACGAGUGGCGGACGGGUGAGUAAUGUCUGGGAAACUGCCUGAUGGAGGGGGAUAACUACUGGCAACGGUCGCUAAUACCGCAUACCAUCGGAUGUGCCCAUAUGGGAUUAGCUUGUUGGUGGGGUAACGGCUCACCAAGGCGACGAUCCCUAGCUGGUCUGAGAGGAUGACGAGCCACACGGGAACGGGGACAGGGUCCAGACUCCUACGGGAGGAAGAAGUGGGGAAUAUUGCACAAUGGGCGAAAGCCUGAUGCAUCCAUGCCGGGUGUAUGAAGAAGGCCUUCGGGUUGUAAAGUACUUUCAGCGGGGAGGCGUUACCCGCAGAAGAAGCACCGGCUAACUACGUGCCAGCAGCCGCGGUAAUAC